AUACUUACCUGGCAGGGGAGAUACCAUGAUCAUGAAAAUGGUUCACCCAGGGCGAGGCUCAGCCAUUGCACUUCGGUUGUGCUGACCUGUGAAUUCCCAAAAUGUUGGAAUCUCGACUGCAUAAUUUGUGGUAGUGGGGGACUGCGUCCGCGCUCUCCCCUG